rnacentral:rRNA from 1 species
UGCAAGUCGUACGCACUGGCCCAACUGAUUGAUGGUGCUUGCACCUGAUUGACGAUGGAUCACCAGUGAGUGGCGGACGGGUGAGUAACACGUAGGUAACCUGCCCCGGAGCGGGGGAUAACAUUUGGAAACAGAUGCUAAUACCGCAUAACAACAAAAGCCACAUGGCUUUUGUUUGAAAGAUGGCUUUGGCUAUCACUCUGGGAUGGACCUGCGGUGCAUUAGCUAGUUGGUAAGGUAACGGCUUACCAAGGCGAUGAUGCAUAGCCGAGUUGAGAGACUGAUCGGCCACAAUGGAACUGAGACACGGUCCAUACUCCUACGGGAGGCAGCAGUAGGGAAUCUUCCACAAUGGGCGCAAGCCUGAUGGAGCAACACCGCGUGAGUGAAGAAGGGUUUCGGCUCGUAAAGCUCUGUUGUUGGAGAAGAACGUGCGUGAGAGUAACUGUUCACGCAGUGACGGUAUCCAACCAGAAAGUCACGGCUAACUACGUGCCAGCAGCCGCGGUAAUACGUAGGUGGCAAGCGUUAUCCGGAUUUAUUGGGCGUAAAGCGAGCGCAGGCGGUUGCUUAGGUCUGAUGUGAAAGCCUUCGGCUUAACCGAAGAAGUGCAUCGGAAACCGGGCAACUUGAGUGCAGAAGAGGACAGUGGAACUCCAUGUGUAGCGGUGGAAUGCGUAGAUAUAUGGAAGAACACCAGUGGCGAAGGCGGCUGUCUGGUCUGCAACUGACGCUGAGGCUCGAAAGCAUGGGUAGCGAACAGGAUUAGAUACCCUGGUAGUCCAUGCCGUAAACGAUGAGUGCUAGGUGUUGGAGGGUUUCCGCCCUUCAGUGCCGGAGCUAACGCAUUAAGCACUCCGCCUGGGGAGUACGACCGCAAGGUUGAAACUCAAAGGAAUUGACGGGGGCCCGCACAAGCGGUGGAGCAUGUGGUUUAAUUCGAAGCUACGCGAAGAACCUUACCAGGUCUUGACAUCUUGCGCUAACCUUAGAGAUAAGGCGUUCCCUUCGGGGACGCAAUGACAGGUGGUGCAUGGUCGUCGUCAGCUCGUGUCGUGAGAUGUUGGGUUAAGUCCCGCAACGAGCGCAACCCUUGUUACUAGUUGCCAGCAUUAAGUUGGGCACUCUAGUGAGACUGCCGGUGACAAACCGGAGGAAGGUGGGGACGACGUCAGAUCAUCAUGCCCCUUAUGACCUGGGCUACACACGUGCUACAAUGGACGGUACAACGAGUCGCAAGCUCGCGAGAGUAAGCUAAUCUCUUAAAGCCGUUCUCAGUUCGGACUGUAGGCUGCAACUCGCCUACACGAAGUCGGAAUCGCUAGUAAUCGCGGAUCAGCAUGCCGCGGUGAAUACGUUCCCGGGCCUUGUACACACCGCCCGUCACACCAUGGGAGUUUGUAACGCCCAAAGUCGGUGGC